rnacentral:rRNA from 1 species
GAUGAACGCUGGCGGCGUGCCUAAUACAUGCAAGUCGAGCGAAGCGGGGAUGGGUGAUUACCACGUGGAUAACCUCAUAUAAGACUGGGAUCACUUAGGGAAACCGGAUAUAAACCGGUUCCUUAUUCAUGGAUCCUCGCUGCAUUAGCUAGUUGGUAGGGUAACGGCUUACCAAGGCAACGCUGCAUAGCUGACCUGAGAGGGUGAUCAGCCACACUGGAACUGAGACACGGUCCAGACUCCUACGGGAGGCAGCAGUAGGGAAUCUUCCGCAAUGGGCGAAAGCCUGACCGAGCAACGCCGCGUGCGUGAUGAAGGUCUUCGGAUCGUAAAGCUCUUUUAUUAGGGAAGCGGUACCUAAUCAGAAAGCCACGGCUAACUACGUGCCAGCAGCCGCGGUAAUAC